rnacentral:rRNA from 1 species
CCUACGGGAGGCAGCAGUGAGGAAUAUUGGUCAAUGGACGAAAGUCUGAACCAGCCAUGCCGCGUGCAGGAUGACGGCCCUAUGAGUUGUAAACUGCUUUUGUCUUAGGGCAAACACCCCUACGUGUAGGGGCUUGAAAGUAUAAUACGAAUAAGGAACGGGUAACUCCGUGCCAGCAGCCGCGGUAAUUCGGAGGAUUCCAGCGUUAUCCGGAUUUAUUGGGUUUAAAGGGUGCGUAGGCGGUCGGAUCAGUUAGAGGUGAAAUCCCGAGGCUCAAAUUCGGAAUUGCCUCUGAUACUGUUCGGCUAGAGAGUAGUUGCGGUAGGCGGAAUGUAUGGUGUAGCGGUGAAAUGCUUAGAGAUCAUACAGAACACCGAUUGCGAAGGCAGCUUACCAGGCUACUUCUGACGUUGAGGCACGAAAGCGUGGGGAGCAAACAGGAUUAGAUACCCGUGUAGUC